AACGAACGCUGGCGGCAUGCCUAACACAUGCAAGUCGAACGAGACCUUCGGGUCUAGUGGCGCACGGGUGCGUAACGCGUGGGAACCUGCCCUUAGGUUCGGAAUAACUCCCCGAAAGGGGUGCUAAUACCGGAUAAUGUCUUCGGACCAAAGAUUUAUCGCCUUUGGAUGGGCCCGCGUUGGAUUAGCUAGUUGGUAGGGUAAAAGCCUACCAAGGCGACGAUCCAUAGCUGGUCUGAGAGGAUGAUCAGCCAGACUGGGACUGAGACACGGCCCAGACUCCUACGGGAGGCAGCAGUGGGGAAUAUUGGACAAUGGGCGAAAGCCUGAUCCAGCAAUGCCGCGUGUGUGAUGAAGGCCUUAGUGUUGUAAAGCUCUUUUACCCGGGAUGAUAAUGACAGUACCGGGAGAAUAAGCUCCGGCUAACUCCGUG
rnacentral:rRNA from 1 species